GUGAAUCAUCGAAUCUUUGAACGCACAUUGCGCCCCUUGGUAUUCCGAGGGGCAUGCCUGUUCGAGCGUCAUUUCACCACUCAAGCUCUGCUUGGUAUUGGGCGCCGUCCUUCACCGGACGCGCCUCAAAGACCUCGGCGGUGGCGUCUUGCCUCAAGCGUAGUAGAAAACACCUCGCUUUGGAGGACGGGACGUUCGCUCGCCGGACGAACCUUCUGAAUUUUCUCAAGGUUGACCUCGGAUCAGGUAGGGAUACCCGCUGAACUUAAGCAUAUCAAUAAGCGGAGGA
rnacentral:misc_RNA from 1 species